rnacentral:lncRNA from 1 species
UAAUUACUCUUUUGGUCCCUUAACUUAUUUUUUGAUUUCGUUUUGGUCCCUUAACUAUUAAAAGUUUCGUUUUGAUCCCUUAACUUAUUUUUUGGUUUUGUUUUGGUCCCUUAACUAUUAAAAGUUUUGUUUUGGUCCUUUAACUUAUUUUUUGUUUUCGUUUUGGUCACUUAACUUAUUUUUUGAUUUCGUUUUGGUCCUUAACUGUAAUACAUUCAUCC